CCUACGGGUGGCAGCAGUGAGGAAUAUUGGUCAAUGGACGAGAGUCUGAACCAGCCAAGUAGCGUGAAGGAUGACUGCCCUAUGGGUUGUAAACUUCUUUUAUAUGGGAAUAAAAUGUUCCACGUGUGGGAUUUUGUAUGUACCAUAUGAAUAAGGAUCGGCUAACUCCGUGCCAGCAGCCGCGGUAAUACGGAGGAUCCGAGCGUUAUCCGGAUUUAUUGGGUUUAAAGGGAGCGUAGGUGGAUUGUUAAGUCAGUUGUGAAAGUUUGCGGCUCAACCGUAACAUGGCAGUUGAAACUGGCAGUCUUGAGGACAGUAGAGGUGGGCGGAAUUCGUGGUGUAGCGGUGAAAUGCUUAGAUAGCACGAAGAACUCCGAUUGCGAAGGCAGUUCACUGGACUGCAACUGACACUGAGGCUCGAAAGUGUGGGUAUCAAACAGGAUUAGAUACCCGUGUAGUC
rnacentral:rRNA from 1 species